rnacentral:rRNA from 1 species
UACGUAGGGUGCAAGCGUUGUCCGGAAUUAUUGGGCGUAAAGAGCUCGUAGGCGGUCUGUCGCGUCUGCUGUGAAAACUCAGGGCUUAACCCUGAGCUUGCAGUGGGUACGGGCAGACUAGAGUGCGGUAGGGGAGACUGGAAUUCCUGGUGUAGCGGUGAAAUGCGCAGAUAUCAGGAGGAACACCGGUGGCGAAGGCGGGUCUCUGGGCCGAUACUGACGCUGAGGGAGCGAAAGCGUGGGGAGCGAACGGG